rnacentral:rRNA from 1 species
AGAGUUUGAUCAUGGCNNNGAACGAACGCUGGCGGCAGGCUUAACACAUGCAAGUCGAGCGCCCCGCAAGGGGAGCGGCAGACGGGUGAGUAACGCGUGGGAAUCUACCUUUUGCUACGGAAUAACUCAGGGAAACUUGUGCUAAUACCGUAUGUGCCCCCCUUUAAAAUUUCAGGAUACAUAAAAUGCCCUGGCAUUNNNUGGGGGGGAAAGAUUUAUCGGCAAAGGAUGAGCCCGCGUUGGAUUAGCUAGUUGGUGGGGUAAAGGCCCACCAAGGCGACGAUCCAUAGCUGGUCUGAGAGGAUGAUCAGCCACACUGGGACUGAGACACGGCCCAGACUCCUACGGGAGGCAGCAGUGGGGAAUAUUGGACAAUGGGCGCAAGCCUGAUCCAGCCAUGCCGCGUGAGUGAUGAAGGCCCUAGGG